rnacentral:rRNA from 1 species
GUAAGACAGAGGGUGCGAACGUUGCUCGGAAUUACUGGGCGUAAAGGGCGCGUAGGCGGACAGUUAAGUUAGAGGUGAAAGCCCAGGGCUCAACCUUGGAAUUGCCUUUGAUACUGGCUGUCUUGAGUUCGGGAGAGGUGAGUGGAAUGCCGAGUGUAGAGGUGAAAUUCGUAGAUAUUCGGCGGAACACCAGUGGCGAAGGCGACUCACUGGCCCGAUACUGACGCUGAGGCGCGAAAGCGUGGGGAGCAAACAG